rnacentral:rRNA from 1 species
CCGGAGCUAAUACCGGAUAAUAUUUUGAACCGCAUGGUUCAAAAGUGAAAGACGGUCUUGCUGUCACUUAUAGAUGGAUCCGCGCUGCAUUAGCUAGUUGGUAAGGUAACGGCUUACCAAGGCAACGAUGCAUAGCCGACCUGAGAGGGUGAUCGGCCACACUGGAACUGAGACACGGUCCAGACUCCUACGGGAGGCAGCAGGU